AGCAGCCGCGGUAAUUCCAGCUCCAAUAGCGUAUAUUAAAGUUGUUGCAGUUAAAAAGCUCGUAGUUGAACUUCGGGGUCUACCCAUCGGUCAGGCUUAAUUGUCUGUACUGGUGAGAUGGAUCUCUACCUUCUGAGGAACUUUCAUGCCAUUUAUUUGGUGUGAUUGAAAAUCAGGACUGUUACUUUGAAAAAAUUAGAGUGUUUAAAGCAGACUAUCGUCUGAAUACAUUAGCAUGGAAUAAUGAAAUAGGACGGACUGAUUCUAUUUCGUUGGUUUCUAGGAUCACCGUAAUGAUUAAUAGGGAUAGUUGGGGGCAUUAGUAUUCAAUUGUCAGAGGUGAAAUUCUUGGAUUUAUUGAAGACUAACUACUGCGAAAGCAUUUGCCAAGGAUGUUUUCAUUAAUCAAGAACGAAAGUUAGGGGAUCGAAGACGAUCAGAUACCGUCGUAGUCUUAACCAUAAACUAUGCCGACUAGGGAUCGGACGAAGUUAAUUUUAUAAUGACGCGUUCGG
rnacentral:rRNA from 1 species